rnacentral:rRNA from 1 species
AUCUACGAUGAUGAAGAGGCCUACUGGCUUUUGCGUGGUGCUCAGAAAUGGGUCUUGAAGGGCGACGCGAAUACUGCUUAUUUCCAGGCCAUUGCUAAUGGGCGUCGUAGGCGCAACACCAUCCCUCUCCUUUGGGAUGGUCCGACUCUCUUGCAGUCCCCCCGGGACAUUAGGUCCCACGUCGACGGCUUCUAUAGGGCCCUGUUCACGGCCGCUCCUCGGAGUAGCUUAUCUUUGGCGCUUGACUGCUGG